AUUAAUGAACAAGAUCCUCUGCUGGGAAAGCACAUAAAGCUGUGUUUUUUAGUGCUCCAGCUCUUCCACCAAUCUGAGUGUCUGUGCUCACAUGGUGAAGAAAUGCAGGGCUAGUCAGAAUUAAGGAUCUGGCCUUGAACCAAAGGAAAGGAAGCUGGGACCAUCAAGAAGAAGCAGUGACAGUCUGCACAAGAAGACACCAGGAGUGAUGGGCUUUCAAGAAGAAUUUGCUUUUCCUGUAGAUAUCAGAGGACUUUGUGAGGGGAAAAAAUAUUCACUGAAGACUAUGCAAGGCAAAAAACAAUUCUUACAUGGAGAAACUGAACCACGAAGGAGCUAGAAGGAGGGAAGAGUGUAUUAAGAAGUGAUGACCUGUGCCCAGCUGGUGUUAACAGUGGUAAGGAACUCAAGAUCUACUGAGCCAGAGUCCAGUGAAACCACCUCGUGGCUGGAUUGGGUCAGCCAGCAGUGGGAAACACCUAGCACUUUUGCAUGGAAUAAACAAGGAGAAUUAGUGACUUACGCACCACAGCUUGAGUUAAACCAACAACUGGUAGUGGUAUGUACUCUCUUCUCCCAGCAGUGGGACACUGAGCUCUGCUCUUAUCAGGCAGAUACCUUUUGUGCUGGUCUGUUUAUCAUUAUGAGACAAACUUGUCCAUGCUGUUUCUCCACCAGUGAGAGCUGAACAAUACCAGGGAUGAAUUUGGGUCUUGCAGAUCAUUAGACUGCUGCCUUUGGCAGUACUGCAGUACACAGUAGGGCUGAGAUUCAAUGUUGACAUUUCUUCAUACUUUUGCUUCCUCUUGAGAAUAAAUACACAUUGUAGAGUUCUUUUUGUUUUUUUUUUUUUUUUCCUUUUCUUUCUUUUUCCUAUAUCAAGAGGACAAGGUUGUAUUUUUGCAUAGCAUGUAAUUAACAAAACACUCUGAUUAAUCUGAGGGGGGGAUUUUCUUUUUUUUUUUUUUUUUUU